rnacentral:rRNA from 1 species
AGUGAACGCUGGCGGUAGGCCUAACACAUGCAAGUCGAACGGCAGCACAGUAAGAGCUUGCUCUUACGGGUGGCGAGUGGCGGACGGGUGAGGAAUACAUCGGAAUCUACUUUUUCGUGGGGGAUAACGUAGGGAAACUUACGCUAAUACCGCAUACGACCUACGGGUGAAAGCAGGGGAUCUUCGGACCUUGCGCGAUUGAAUGAGCCGAUGUCGGAUUAGCCAGUUGGCGGGGUAAAGGCCCACCAAGGCGACGAUCCGUAGCUGGUCUGAGAGGAUGAUCAGCCACACUGGAACUGAGACACGGUCCAGACUCCUACGGGAGGCAGCAGUGGGGAAUAUUGGACAAUGGGGGCAAGCCUGAUCCAGCCAUACCGCGUGGGUGAAGAAGGCCUUCGGGUUGUAAAGCCCUUUUGUUGGGAAAGAAAAGCAGCAGGUUAAUACCCCGCUGUUCUGACGGUACCCAAAGAAUAAGCACCGGCUAACUUCGUG